rnacentral:rRNA from 1 species
AUUGAACGCUGGCGGCAUGCCUUACACAUGCAAGUCGAACGGCAGCACGGGUGCUUGCACCUGGUGGCGAGUGGCGAACGGGUGAGUAAUACAUCGGAACGUACCUUAUCGUGGGGGAUAACGCAGCGAAAGCUGUGCUAAUACCGCAUACGCCCUGAGGGGGAAGGCGGGGGAUCGCAAGACCUCGCGCGAUUAGAGCGGCCGAUGCCUGAUUAGCUUGUUGGUGGGGUAAAAGCCCACCAAGGCGACGAUCAGUAGCUGGUCUGAGAGGACGAUCAGCCACACUGGGACUGAGACACGGCCCAGACUCCUACGGGAGGCAGCAGUGGGGAAUUUUGGACAAUGGGGGCAGCCCUGAUCCAGCAAUGCCGCGUGAGUGAAGAAGGCCUUCGGGUUGUAAAGCUCUUUUGUCAGGGAAGAAACACCGGCUCUAACACAGUCUGGGAAUGACGGUACCUGAAGAAUAAGCACCGGCUAACUACGUGCCAGCCGCCGCGGUAA